AGCAAUAAUGCCUUCAGCGCCUCUCAACAUUCUUCCCUUUCUCUCGUCUUCAACCAAACCCGUCUUUUCCCUAACCCUCCCUCCGCAAAUCUUCCACCCUCCGCAAACCCUAUCCCUCGACCCUCCCUUCUCCAACCUUCCGUGAUUUCGUCAAAUCAAUGGCCAAAGACACCGAUUCUGACGAGUUCGUCUUGCUCUCUAGGGUUCGCUGCGGCCUCAAGUGUGAGUUCGCCUUCAUCAUGAAGGCCCAGUCCGAGAUCUGCACCGCCUCCUUGGGCCGGACGCGGGCCAGCAAGAACCGUCCCGACCGGCCGCUCCAGCCCGCCUCGGCUCGCAAGUACUCCAGGAAGGCCGAGGAGCCCAAACCCCCCGAGGACUUGGUUUUCCGGCAACAAAGUGCCGCCGCCGGUGGUGUGGGUGGUGGUGGAGAUGAACGACAACAAAGUCCCGUUCGCGACAUCUCCCUCAAGCUCCAGGAGGAGGAAUAUGCUAGUUUGAGCUUGCAUACUUGGAAGGAAGUGGAUUCUUACCAUAUUCAGCUGUCUGCUCCAAAACUUAGUUUUCUUAGUAUCAUUGACGUUGAUUUUUCCUCUUCUCACCAACUCUCCUCCACAUGCAAUCUUACAUUCCUUGAAGAAGUACAUAUUGACACGUAUUCUGAUAUUUAUUCUCCAAUCAUCUUAAACUGGUUGCAACUAUUUUCUAAUGUAAAUAAAAUGACAACCUCGAUGGCUACCUUUAAGUCUAUUUCAGAUGUUCUAUCAAAUUCUAGUUUAGUGGAAAUUCAAUUCCCUAACCUUGUUAGAUUAAAGCCGGUUAAAGAGACAGUGGAUGAAUGUUUCUCUGUAUCUGCUGAGGAUGUAAGGGUGGUUAACCAGUUUUUACAGAAGUUUCCAUCAACCACAUUUGAUUUGAUAAGAACAUAUGAAACCCUUAUUUUGAAGAAAAGGAACAUUCAUCAAGUUGGAGGUGAAAUUGAUGCAGGGUGACAGAGAUAGUAAUAUGGACGAGGACAGUAUCAGGGGUAGAUGUCAUUGUUUUGUUUAGCAUAAUGAUCUCUUUUUACGAAUUUAACUUUAUCUAAUUUUUGUUUCCUCGUUUUUCAGAAGCCUUUUAGAGAAUUGUUAAUUACCUACCCAAAAAAAAAACAAAAAGACUAUCUCGGUGAUAACUUAGUUUUUGUUUUUUUUUGUUUUUUCCCCUUUGUUGUUGUUUAUUCGGCUUUAGGUGGAUGAUAGUUUUUAAUGUCAAUGAAUUAUAACUUUAUCAUGUUAUUAUAUUGUUUUGUUCAAACAUAUCUUUUUAUUAAUUAGUUAUGAUGCAUUGUAAUAUUUUAUUUCAUUUGUGUAUAUAAUUUUGAUUUGUCAUGAUUAUAACUGAAAUUGGGAUUGCAAAUGGAAGAGAGUAAGGGUGGAGAUAGUUAUCAAAAGCUAAUUAAUUUAACGUGGUUGUCUAUCUUUAUUAAGACACUACUAUGAUUGUUGGAAAAAUUCUAAUGACAAUGUAGAACUAAGUGUUAUCAGCAAGAGAAAUUGGUUAACUUUACUGUGGUUAUGUGAUAUCAUCAGCACAACAGUUUUUGUCCAUUGGAAUGCAGCUGAAAACAAAACUCUCUUCAUUUUGUAACACCUUGGCCUUCUUUCACAUUUGAAAACUUCUCUCAUUUUCUUCAUUUUAUUAAUGGUAUAAAGUGCUGAACAUUUAAUUAUUUUCAUAUCCUGCAGAUGUGGUCCAAAGUGUGUCUCAGGGUGUUAGAGAGAACAUGCUACUUUGCUCAGAUUUUAAUGAUCAUUCAGAGCAGUCAGGUGAUUAUUAGUUUCCUACCUUCUAUUUGCAUUAUAAUCUGUCAUAAGCUUUGUUAUAUUUACAGAGAGGAUAUAGCUUUUAACUUUAGAAAGAUUAUAUUAGUCUUGAUUUAUUUUUUAUGAAAGCUUCAUUCUGCUAUCUCUGGCUGUGUUCUAAUUAAUGAACUGUGUUCUAGGAGAAAGAAUAAAUUUCCAAUACCGAGAAGAAAUCUUUCUACUUACAGAAGCAAGUUUUCUGUGCAUUGCAUGGGUAUUUUUAAAUAAAAAUAAAUUAAAGAGAAUAGAGUAUGUCUUUAUUAUUAAUAGUGAAUAAUUUAUUAUAUUUAAUAGUGAAAAUUAAAGAGAUAUGAUUUUAUAAUUAAGGAAACUAUGGAAAAAUUAUUAAAAUCAAGGCACAAUCUAUAUUGAUAUGGUUAGUUAAAAUUUAAAAUUUAAAAUUAAAUUCAAAAUAGGAUUAACUUACAUUACAAUAAUGUUAAAAUUAGUUUAUUUUAAAAAAUAAAGACAUCUUCAAUUCAAUAUUAUACAUGUUGAAUGAUCAGAUGCUAUAUGCUGGUAUAGAAGCUUCCUGAACACAAGUCAAAAAGUUUGGUUCCCAAUUCCCAUUGAACGUUCUUUUUGAGCUUGGUUUGAAUACUGACGAAAGCACCUAUUGUGCUUGGUGGGAACCAUGUGGUCAAGGGGAGUUAAUAAGGAUUUGCUUAAACUACUGAGUAGGGAUAGGUGGUGUAUCUGUAGCUGGCAGGUGGAGAUGACUCCUUUUGAUGCUUUGUUUGUUUCAGCCACUUGGCAUAGUGGCUU